UCGAACGGCAGCACAGUAAGAGCUUGCUCUUAUGGGUGGCGAGUGGCGGACGGGUGAGGAAUACAUCGGAAUCUACUUUUUCGUGGGGGAUAACGUAGGGAAACUUACGCUAAUACCGCAUACGACCUACGGGUGAAAGCAGGGGAUCUUCGGACCUUGCGCGAUUGAAUGAGCCGAUGUCGGAUUAGCUAGUUGGCGGGGUAAAGGCCCACCAAGGCGACGAUCCGUAGCUGGUCUGAGAGGAUGAUCAGCCACACUGGAACUGAGACACGGUCCAGACUCCUACGGGAGGCAGCAGUGGGGAAUAUUGGACAAUGGGCGCAAGCCUGAUCCAGCCAUACCGCGUGGGUGAAGAAGGCCUUCGGGUUGUAAAGCCCUUUUGUUGGGAAAGAAAUCCACCCGGCUAAUACCUGGUUGGGAUGACGGUACCCAAA
rnacentral:rRNA from 1 species